GAGGAGUCUGGAGGGCUACAGUCCAUGGAGUUGCAAAUAGUCAGACACGACCGAACACGUAUGCACGUAGACAUUCAUGGUUCCCAGGUCUAGGGUAUGACCAGGAGACCAGGGUGGGGCAGGAGAUGUAUCACUAGGACUAAGGUAGUCAGGAGAGUUAGGGGCUAAGGUUGUGGGGCGGGUCAUCAGCUUUAAUGUUGAGAUCACCAAGAAUGGUGACAGUGAAGGAGAAAGAGCCCAGUGGAGGAGAAAGAGCCCAGUGCUGAAAUCGUCGAGGAAUGGAGGAAGUGGCCAGAAGGAUAAUAAGGUGACACUAACUAGAAGCGGUGGAUAUGUUGACAUGUAUUCCAAAGGAGACGGGUUUUUGAAGGAAGAAUAAGAACCGGAUUGGGAAGCUUCAGUGGUGAAUGAGGAGACAUCUCCAGGCCCGGAAGCGUGGCCUAAGGAGAAAGAAGCCUCGGACAGGGCUGUGGAGCAGCAGGAUCCUCAGAGGUCAGACAGUCUUCAGGAGGAAGGAAGAGAGGAUCCCAGGCUUGCAGGAGGUUGCAUGAGAAGGCAGAGAGGCUGCGCCCCACCCCGGCGCCUGACGGAUAAGGGCAGCCUCACCAGGCCCCUAGAGGAAAGCUUCCCAGGUUACCCUGGCCUGGAGGGGAGGCUUCCUUUUCCAGGAACCCCUAUAACUGUGGUUUCUCGCGUUUCUCAGUUGGGCCUGGUCCCCUGCUUCCUGGUGUCCUCAUUGUUCUUCUUCCGUGUGGAUUUCUUAUUUCCUCAAUUAGAGGCAAGUUUGGGCAGAACCCUGUCUAGGCCAUUUUGCACGCGCGCUCCAGUCCAGCACAGCACCUGACACGCAAUGGCCCUUCACAACUGUUUGCUGCUGGAGUUGGAUGCAAAUACGGCCGAAUAGUAUUCCACUGUAAGGAAUAUACCACAUUUUGUCUAUUCUGAUGGACAUUUGAGUUGCCUCUACCUUCGAGUAGAAUAAUGGUGCUGUGGACAUUCAUGUUGUGCAGAAGCUCGUCUCUUCCCUUGAAAACAUGGUGAAAAUCUCUGCAGUAUUUCCCAGUGAAACUGGCUUCCUUCCCUGUCACCGGGAGCUGGCUGGAGCUGAAGGCACGACAGCGGCAUUUCAUCAGCUGAUGUGAGCUCAUGUCCAAGAAGUCCCCACGCCUCUCCGCUCUUGGUACCUGAGAUUCUGGGAAAUCAGCUCUAUUUUCAGCCUGUAGGUUUCCUUGUCAUUAUGAGAACCGAGCUCCUCGGAAACAGGUGGCCACAGGGGAGCUGAAGAAAAGAGGAAGAUGAAGCAAGCCCCACACAGCCUUGCAAGGAGAUUGUUCUUAGCCUAAGACCCUGGAAACCUUGGUCGAAAACCCUCUCGGCUGUUGCCCCUUGGAGACAUCUACUGUUUGGGGAAAUAUGUUUGGACUGUCUGAUCCUCUCUUGGUCCCCGACAUCUAGGAACUACAUAUGCUUGAAAACAGACAGAAGCCUCCACGGAGCUGCUGGCAGAAUGGGAAGCUCAACUGAACCUCACCAGAACUGAAGAAAUACAAAGCCCCACAUAAAUGCAAACUGGACCUACACUCUACAUCACCACGGAGAUGCCUCCCAGCGUCUCAGAUGGUUGCAGGAAAGCAUUAUUCUCUACUAUCCUUAGAAACCUCUCUUUCCCCAGAGCACAGUUCCUUCCAAGGCUCUGGGAUUAACCCUUUCCAGCCAUGCCUCUUCCAACACUCUGUUUAGGUUACUAAAUGUGCUCCCUACGAAAGGACAAGAGUUGAGGAAAUAGGCAAGAUGCUUCAAGGAAAUAGAUGGCAUUUUGUAACUAGGAGGAUGUCAUGCCUGUGUGCCACUGUCACAGAAUAUUUUUAAGUGAAUCGACUUGCAUGUCUCCAGGUGAUAGUCUUUACUAAUCAAAAUCUUGAGCUGGUGCAAGGAUCUGUGAACUCUCUCCUGCUGAACACCUUAUUCAGAAAUAAUGAAGAUAAUAAUAACUCACAUAUAGUAAGUAACAAACACUCUGCAUAUGUUCCCUCAUUUAAACUUCAGCAAAAAUGUAUGAAAUUGGAAGUAUCAUUAUUCCCUUUAUACAGGUAGGGAAACUAAGGCAUGAAGUUGCUAACUCAUAGUAGAUAGUAGAGCCUGGCUUUGAACCCAGGUAGGAUAGCACUAGUGAACCAUUAUGCUUCACUGCCUUGCAACUACCUUACACUGAAAAUCUAGUUGAUGCCAGACUCUGGGCUUUGCACAGAUAAGAAUAAAGCCCAGUCCCUGUCUUGAAAGAGUUCCAACUCUGAUAGACAGACCUGCUGGCAGAGAUGGGUAAACAAAGCAUCACAGCAACAUAAACGAAAGAAAAAGGCCUGUGCCUGUUGGUAAUCAAGGAAGGCUUCACAGAGGAGGUGGCUUUGGAGGGAAAGUAGAAGUUUUCUAAGUAGGCAAAGAGUGGACAGGGCACAUCAGGGAGCAGAAGCUUCUUGGAGGUUAGAUCUGGAGCAAGGGAGGCGGCAAAAGCCAAAACUGAAAAUAAGGAUGUGGUGCCAGGGGGAGGGAGUCUCCCUGCCUGGGUCAGGAAGCCUGGAAAGGAUUUAUACAGCGAAGGGGUGGGCUUGCUUUGCAUUUUAGAAAAGGUUCCCAGGUGUGAAACUUAUCACACAUAAGGAGUGAUUGUGGUGGGAAAAAAGAGAACGCACUUCAGCACUGUGGGAGACAUUACGAAGUGAAGGAGAGAAGGGGCAGACAGAUGUGUAGACCAACUCUGGCUUCAAGUGUAUGAGGAAAUGGACAUCCACACCUACAAAACACAUUAACUGAAUAGGCCUCCCACAUGCUCAUGUGGGAUGACAAGGAUGACAAGGGCCUCUGGCAAUGUCCCUACUACCACUUCUAAGAUACCAUCUCUCUGCAAACUCUAUGGUGGUUAGGACUCCAUACUUUCACUGCUAAGGGCCCAGUUUCAAUCCCUGGUUGGGGAACUAAGAUCCUGCAAGCUGCGUGGUGUGACCAAAAAUUUUUAAAGUAAACAAAGUGAAAAAGAAAAUCUCACUGAAGCCGUCAUUUCAGGGCAGCCAAGGUUGGAAGAAAAGUUAUGACCAAUCUAGAUAGCAUAUUCAAAAGCAGAGAGAUUACUUUGCCGACUAAGAUCCGUCUAGUCAAGGGUAUGGUUUUUC